UGUGCUAAAUCGCUGAGAACGCACGGAAGCUGCUGCGGUUCUUGUUUCUCGAUUCCUCCCACACACGGCGAGAGUGAGGCGGAGGCCGACCGCGCGUAGCUAGCAGCGAUGUUCGUCGGCGCGAAGAACCAGGCCGGCGUGUUCCGGAUCCGCCGACCGGCUCGAGCUGCCGUCGUGGGCGGAAGGCCGAGGUUCACGGCGGCCGUCGAGGCCGUCUCCAUCUGCGCGCUCCUCGCCCUCGCCGAGCUGACCGUCCUUGCCGCCAUCCGAGGCCGCCGUCGCCAAGCUGAGCGUCCUCGAAGCCAUCGGAGUCUGCCGCCGCCGAGCUGAGCGUCCUCGCCGUCAUCAGAGGCCGUCGCGGCGGGCUGCUCGACCCCCUCGGUGCGGCUGUCUCACGUCUGAUGCGGCUGCUCGCCCUCGCCGCGUUCCGUGGCCGCCGCCGCAGGCUGCGGAACUCCCGCGGUGGUAGGUGAAGCUGCCUGGGGUUCUUCUCCAGGCAGUGAAGACCACCACGGCCCACCCGAGCUUCUGCUCGGCUGGCGACCCUGCUGCUGCUGCUGCUGCCAGUGCGGACCGACGCCAUGGAGGCCGUGUGCAGAUGCCCUCGCUGACCCGUGCUGCCGAGGAUCUGGAACUCGCUGCAGUACAUUAUUUGCGCGCGCUGGAAGAUGACCGAGGAGAUGCCGUCAAGGCCAUUCUCCUUGGUGCUUGAGGCACAAAGCAGAGGAAGACGGAGGAGGAGAAUGGUGCGGUGCCCAUGGCCUUUGUCAGAUCCGACGAUGAAUCACCCACAAAUGAGAUGAUCAGCAUGUAUGUGCCAAACUGUUUUUUCUGGAUUGAGGUUCAGUACGAUUCAAACUGCAACUUAACUUGUGUUCACAUGGCAAAUUUGCCAUGAUUUCUAAUCCGGCCGCUGUAAGUAUACCGCUUUCCAUGGCAACGUUCUGUUCAUACGGCUUGUUUUUUAGUUGAUGCUACUCCAUGAGGUUGUGCUAUGCUGAUAUGCUUAUGUUUCGCUUUGUAAAUUUACUGAAUUGAGGUUCUGUUCACAGGCUGUGGUCAUCUAUUUACAACAUUUUUCCAUUAUGCUCUGCCAUGCUUAAGUUUUUGAUCUGCAAAUUUGCAUCAGCUUAGGUUGUUUCAUCAACUUAAGCAUUUUGCAAAUUUGCCAUGAUUUGCAUCAAAUUUUGCUCUGCAACUUUCUGUUCACAGACCACUUCCAUGGCAACUCUCUCCACUUCCAUGGCAACUCUCUGUCUCUGUUCACAUAGUUUGUUUUUGAUACACAGUGUACAACAACAGAGCAAAGUUGCCAUGUUCACAUGGUGUAAUAAAACAAAACAAAUUUGAGUUCAUGGUAGAAAUAUGUGUUCCUUUUUUUUCCUGUUCACAUGGCUUCAGCAAAAAUGUAAAAUGGUGUGUGUUUGUUUCCCAUUUGACUUUGUAGGUUUGAUGAUUACCACAUUAAGCGUUGCAACUUUUAAGAGGUUUGAUUUUGCUUCUGUACUUCUAAUGUAAAUCCCCCCAUCCUUUGGUAAUUUUGCCAUGUCAAUUGACAUGCGGUAUAUUUGUGCCAUGGAAAAAAAAUACAUCAUGGCAAAUUUGCAUUCUUUUUCAUUUCAUUUACAUGGCAAGUUUUGGAAACAUUUGUGUCUUAAAAACCAUGUCAAGUUUCAGUUAUUUGUUUGUAAUGGUUAUAUGCGUAAUGUAGGCAAAUUUGUUGUGGGGAGGAUGGCCUAGCCAUGAAUUUAUUUAUUUAUUCAUUUUGCAUGGAAAAUUUACCUUAACAUACAUGGCAUUUUUAGUUUCAUUGCCAUGGCAGUUUUCUUUCAUUUGCCAUGUUUUUUUAAUUAUAGUUAGCCAUAGCAAAUUUUUAACUUUAUUGCCAUGGCAAAAUUACGUUUCUUACCAUGGCAAAUCUACCUUAACAUACAUGGCAAAGUUUAGUCUCAUUGCCAUGGCAAUUUUCUUUCUUUGACCAUCACAUUUUAUAAGUUUUAGUUUCCCAUGGCAAUUUUUUUUAUAUUUUUCCAUGGCAAUUUUAACUUUAUUUUCCAUGGCAAAUUUACUUUAACAUACAUGGCAAAUUUUAGUUUCAUUGCCAUGGCAAUUUUCUUUCAUCUGUCAUGACAUUUUUUAAGUUUUAGUUUGCCAUGGCAAAUUUCUAAUUUUCUUGCCAUGGAAUUUUUUUUAUUCUUUAUUUUCC